AACGCACAUUGCGCUUCCUGGUAUUCUGGGGAGCAUGCUCGUUUCAGAAUCAUUAAACCCUUACUACUUACCUUGUUGCAAAACGAUGUGAGAGAUGUAAAUUUGUCUUUUAUUUGCCGACUUUUGCUUAGCACUGGUCAGGCAAUAAGUUUAAAAUGAUUGUAUGCGUCUUGGAUUUGUCUAUCAAAUUGACCUGUAGUGCAACAACUUCUGGAACCAUUAUAGAGUCCAUUUGUUAGAAUACAAGUAGUAUAUUUCCCAUAUAUUCUAGGUACAGGUUACAAGGACUUACUUGCCUUGUACUGUGCCCUGAUAACUUGGUCUGAAAUCGAGCAAGAAAACCCGCUGAACUUAA
rnacentral:misc_RNA from 1 species